ACUCUUCUGAUCUUGUGGCUGCUACACAUGAUAACGCAAAUAAAAACCAGAAUGUCAAUUUGACAGUGUACAAAAGUUUGACAGCCUAGUGCAAAUUGGCGCCACCAUCCCCACAGGGUUAUAUCCAUGACAUAAUUACUGGGUGGUGUACCGUAAACAGCUGAGUACAAUUUUUUCUCACGAAGUGCGAGUUUUGGUUGUGUGUGUAUUAUAGUUAAGAACCAUAGCACACACAAACAACGAAAAAUGGCGCGAACUAGUUACAUACACAAAAUCAGAGUUGCACUAAUCACUGAUUUUGACAGAUAGUGCACUCAUUAUUUUGUUGAUGGGCAACUCCCACUACCUGCAAAUUAAUAUAUCUUGCUUUUUAUCACAGAUCCUUGGUACAAUUAGAAAGUAACGUCAUAAGCCCAGCUGAACAAGUAUUCCAAUUUCAGAGUUCUAUCCAAAUCUCACUGGAAAAUCAAAUGCUUUGUUUGGAUUUUAAAGCUUUUUUACAUUUUGUUUAUUUUUUCACAUUUUUAUCGUUUGAAUUUAUAAUUUACACGUUUAUAAUCAUAACUCUUUUGAUCUUGUGGCUGCUAUACAUGAUAAUGCAAAUAAAAACUACAAUGUCAAUUUGACAGUGUACAGAAGUUUGACAACCUAGUGGAAAUUUGCGCAACCAUCCCCUCAGGGUUAUACCAUUGAUUUCGUUGUUAUUGGGCUUAUGACUUUACCUUCUAAUUUUACCAAGCACAGAUCUGUUGUAAAAAUAAUCCUUUUAUGCAAAUGCCCCUUACUUUUAACCUUGUCUAUAUACAACUCUGUUAAGCAUCAUGAUUAGCGUGGGUAGGAUUGGAGAAUUUUUUUUGUUUUUUUUUUUGCUGCAACUCCCGCUGGAGGACCGGGACGUCCCAUGAUCUGACUACUCCUGAUCAACAGAAUAAUGAAAACUGAACUCCUGAUCAGCGGGUUACUGAAUAUUGGAAAUGUUCAUGAAAUUUAAGUUAACCAAGGCCAGACCAAAAGCGGUAUCGGAUUGUGCAUCGGUUGUAGGCUUUACUUGUAGAAAUAUCGACAGAUGGAUCUACGCAGUGUUAACAAAACAAUACUCCAUUUAGCGAUUGGGUGUAUUGGUCCCCAAUGGAAGCUUGUCGAAGAUCGCUCACUAACUACCCUGCAAGUAUGUGGUUGCAAAACAACUUCCUACUGGAUAAAAUAAUGAAAUUGUGGAUGACUGACAUCCCAAAGUCUGACUACUGAUAAACGUCCCACUGAAAACUGAAUGUAGAAAAUGUUCCCAAACUCCUGAUCAACGGGUUACUGAAUAUUGGAAAUGUUCAUGAAGCUUAUGUUAACCAAGGCCAGACUAAAAGGUGCGUUUUUCUAAAAAAGAAGACAUAUGUAAUUAGUGUCAGACACGGAUUUAUUUGCAUUUAAUUCAUGUAGAAGCAAACUCUUCUAGAAGAAUUUUCCUCGUUCCUGUCUGAAAAUGUGGACUAGACAUUCCAUAUGCUAAUGAAAAUGGUUAAAUUGAAAAAGCGGUGUCUGAAGCGUUACAACUUAAGAAAUAAAUAUGAUGAUACUGUGCAGAGGUACAGAACAUGGUAAAAUGUGGCCAUGAAGUAAACAACAUUGAAAAGCAAUUUGGUCCGAGAUCAAUAAUUGAUUUGUAGUUGAUUGCUUUAGGAAUAUGCCCUUUUGAUCAAAUUAUUAAAAAUUAUGUACUCACAUGUAUUAUAAUUCGAAUGUAUUGAAAAAUGGAUUACAGCAAUGCUGUGGAAUGUGCAUCGGAUGUAGCCUUAACUUAUGGAAAUAUCAACAGAUGGAUCUGCGCAGUUUUAACACAAAACCCCACCUACUUCUAGCACUGAGAAGAUAUUAAUUGUUUGGCCCAUUCUACAUUUGGGCUUUCUUAAUGCUUUGACAAGGACGUCGGAUAUUUUGAAAGAUUUACAUAUUUGUGGAACCAGUCUUCCAACUGUAAAAAUAAUAUUGUCUUUGUUGUUGUAGCUGUGUGUUGUACACAGAUGCGGCAGCCUUUGGCAAUGAAGGACCCCAUCGUGUCAAUCCGGUACGUACAACCGGCUGCCAUGGGAUAUUGUUGUUUAAGGCCUUUGAACGGCCCUCGGAACUUUGAGGCCUAAAAAAAGGAAGACUGAAUUAAUUCCCAGCCUUAAAGAAAAUAAGAUUACCCAAGUUCAUUGACCAUCUCAAAAAUUGUACUAAGCAUUUUAUAUUUUAUGACAAAAAAUUAAUAAAACAACCUUUUGUCAGCAUGCAUGUCAUGCAUGUAAAUAAAAAUUAAUGUUAACUCUAGUUAUUGAAAAUAAGUACGGACUAAGAUCGGACAAUCCCGAUUUUCUGAGGCCCAUUGGAUCAAUUGCUAAAGACUUUUUUAAUAAAAACUGUUUCAAACAGAAAUAAAAUAGUAUAUUUAAAUUAAAAGUCUUGGAAAGUUUGAAAAUUUCAAUUCACUGUUAAUUCAUCCAUAAAAAGAUGAUUAAAAAUUUUCAAUUAAUUUUUUAAUCAAUACUUUUAAUUGUCGAAAUUUUAAUUUCAAUCGCAAAUCAUACACGUAACUCAGGCGUUACAUGCUGUCGAAGCAGUAACUAUUGGGCUGUAACCGCAAAGCCCAUUCAAAUCACUCUCACUUAUAGCGAGAAGUUCAGCACUACAAAGGGAAUCUUAAGAUCAAGCAUGUCUAGAUCGUAUUUACGAAGAACAAUCCCAUGGCAGCCGGUUGUACGUACCGGAUUGACACGGUGAUUCCUUCAUCGGCAAGAGUUGUCGCCUCAGUGUACAAAACACUUCUACAACAACAACUACUACCGAGAGAGAGCACAGUCCUUGGAGAACUCGGUACUGAAGUUUCAAUGAAUUACAAGUGUAAUAAAAUUUAAAAAUUGUUUAA